GGAGAGAUGGCUUAGCGGUAAAGAGCACUGGCUGUUCUCCUGUUCUCCAGAGGACCUGGGUUCAAUUCCCAGCACCC
rnacentral:tRNA from 1 species